AGAGAGAGUGCAGGAGCAGGGGGAGCUGCAGGCAGAGGGAGAAGCAGGCUCCCUUCUGAGCAAGGAGGCUCGACCCCAGGACCCUGGGAUCAUGACCUGAGCUGAAGGCAGAUGCUUAACCGACUGAGCCACCCAGGGGGUGACUUUAAAGCUGAAACCUCAGCCAUACCCAUCCGAAAGGCAUCCUUUCAUUUCUGAGGUAGGAGUGAUGGAGGUGGAACCAUGGAAUGUUAUGGAAACAAGAGGAUAUUAGAGCGCCACUGACUCUUGACAAGAGUGGUCUGAGGUUCCUGUUAAUCAGUGUUUCAUCAUUUCAAUACUGAGUGUGACUUUCAGAACAUGGAAGAGAUCAUUCCAAAAUGUACAGACAAAGAACCGGCGUGAAGAGGUGGCAAAUCGGGCAAGAUCACGGAGGUGGCUGGUGGGGGAAGUGAAACCCCCCACCCAGGUUUCUGGUCCCAGAUUCAGCGCGCAUUCAUCCAGGUUAUGGGAG